UACGAAGGGGGCGAGCGUUGCUCGGAAUCACUGGGCGUAAAGGGUGCGUAGGCGGGUCUUUAAGUCAGAGGUGAAAUCCUGGAGCUCAACUCCAGAACUGCCUUUGAUACUGAGGAUCUUGAGUUCGGGAGAGGUGAGUGGAACUGCGAGUGUAGAGGUGAAAUUCGUAGAUAUUCGCAAGAACACCAGUGGCGAAGGCGGCUCACUGGCCCGAUACUGACGCUGAGGCACGAAAGCGUGGGGAGCAAACAGG
rnacentral:rRNA from 1 species